rnacentral:rRNA from 1 species
AUCAUGGAGAGUUUGAUCCUGGCUCAGAACGAACGCUGGCGGCGCGUCUUAAGCAUGCAAGUCGAGCGGUACAGAGGGGCUUGCCCCUCCGGAGAGCGGCGGACUGGUGAGUAACGCGUGGGUGAUCCACCCUUAGGUCGGGGAUAGCCGUUAGAAAUAGCGGGUAAUACCGGAUGUGGCUGCCGCUUCGGUGCGGCAGGGAAAGGAGCCUUGGCUCCGCCUGGGGACGAGCCCGCGUCCCAUUAGCUGGUUGGUGCGGUAACGGCGCACCAAGGCUCUGAUGGGUAGCCGGCCUGAGAGGGUGAACGGCCACACUGGGACUGAGAUACGGCCCAGACUCCUACGGGAGGCAGCAGCUAAGAAUAUUCCGCAAUGGACGGAAGUCUGACGGAGCGACGCCGCGUGGAUGACGAAGGCCGAAAGGUUGUAAAAUCCUUUUAUUGCUGAAGAAUAAGUGGGGGAGGGAAUGCCCCUAUGAUGACGCAAGGCAAUGAAUAAGCCCCGGCUAAUUACGUGCCAGCAGCCGCGGUAACACGUAAGGGGCGAGCGUUGUUCGGAAUUAUUGGGCGUAAAGGGCAUGUAGGCGGUUAUGUAAGCCUGGCGUGAAAUGGUAGGGCUUAACCCUAUCACUGCGCUGGGAACUGGGUAACUAGAGUCAUGGAGGGGGAGUUGGAAUUCCAGGUGUAGGGGUGAAAUCUGUAGAUAUCUGGAAGAACACCGGUGGCGAAGGCGAACUUCUAGCCAAUGACUGACGCUGAGGUGCGAAAGUG